AAGACUCUAGUAAAACUAUUACAUAGCUCUGUCAGCGCUAAAUUACAGACACCUCUGUGAGUCUUA
rnacentral:tRNA from 1 species